AUGAACGCUAGCUACAGGCUUAACACCUGCAAGUCGCGGGGAAACGACAUCGAAAGCUUGCUUUUGAUGGGCGUCGACCGGCGCACGGGUGAGUAACGCGUAUCCAACCUGCCCACCACUUGGUUCUAACCUUUCGAAAGUAAGACUAAUACCCAAUGAUAUCUCUAGAAGACAUCUGAAAGAGAUUAAAGAUUUAUCGGUGAUGGAUGGGGAUGCGUCUGAUUAGCUUGUUGGCGGUGUAACGGCCCACCAAGGCAACGAUCAGUAGGGGUUCUGAGGGGAAGGUCCCCCACAGUGGAACUGAGACACGGACAAAAGACCUACGGGAGGCAGCAGUGAGGAAGAUAGGAGAAGGGAAGAGAGUAUGAACCAGCCAAGUAGCGUGCAGGAAGACGGCGCUAUGGGUGGUAAACUGCUUUUAGAAGGGAAUAAAGUGAGUCUCGUGAGACUUUUUGCAUGUACCUGAUGAAUAAGGACCGGCUAAUUCCGUG
rnacentral:rRNA from 1 species